AUACCUUUCUCGGCCUUUUGGCUAAGAUCAAGUGUAGUAUCUGUUCUUAUCAGUUUAAUAUCUGAUAUGUGGCUCAAUGGGUCACAUGAUAUUAAAUUACUUUUUUGAGGGGGAGAAGUCAUCACAAUAGCUUGCUAUUGAACUUCUUGAGUGUCGCUUAUGCGUUGCACUAUUGCAUAGGCUGGCGCACCCCAC
rfam:Medicago truncatula strain A17 chromosome 8, whole genome shotgun sequence.